rnacentral:rRNA from 1 species
GGGUUGUGAGGUUAAGCGACUAAGCGUACACGGUGGAUGCCCUGGCAGUCAGAGGCGAUGAAGGACGUGCUAAUCUGCGAUAAGCGUCGGUAAGGUGAUAUGAACCGUUAUAACCGGCGAUUUCCGAAUGGGGAAACCCAGUGUGAUUCGUCACACUAUCAUUAACUGAAUCCAUAGGUUAAUGAGGCGAACCGGGGGAACUGAAACAUCUAAGUACCCCGAGGAAAAGAAAUCAACCGAGAUUCCCCCAGUAGCGGCGAGCGAACGGGGAGGAGCCCAGAGCCUGAAUCAGUGUGUGUGUUAGUGGAAGCGUCUGGAAAGGCGCGCGAUACAGGGUGACAGCCCCGUACACAAAAAUGCACAUACUGUGAGCUCGAUGAGUAGGGCGGGACACGUGGUAUCCUGUCUGAAUAUGGGGGGACCAUCCUCCAAGGCUAAAUACUCCUGACUGACCGAUAGUGAACCAGUACCGUGAGGGAAAGGCGAAAAGAACCCCGGCGAGGGGAGUGAAAAAGAACCUGAAACCGUGUACGUACAAGCAGUGGGAGCCUCUUAAUGGGGUGACUGCGUACCUUUUGUAUAAUGGGUCAGCGACUUAUAUUCUGUAGCAAGGUUAACCGAAUAGGGGAGCCGAAGGGAAACCGAGUCUUAACUGGGCGUUAAGUUGCAGGGUAUAGACCCGAAACCCGGUGAUCUAGCCAUGGGCAGGUUGAAGGUUGGGUAACACUAACUGGAGGACCGAACCGACUAAUGUUGAAAAAUUAGCGGAUGACUUGUGGCUGGGGGUGAAAGGCCAAUCAAACCGGGAGAUAGCUGGUUCUCCCCGAAAGCUAUUUAGGUAGCGCCUCGUGAAUUCAUCUCCGGGGGUAGAGCACUGUUUCGGCAAGGGGGUCAUCCCGACUUACCAACCCGAUGCAAACUGCGAAUACCGGAGAAUGUUAUCACGGGAGACACACGGCGGGUGCUAACGUCCGUCGUGAAGAGGGAAACAACCCAGACCGCCAGCUAAGGUCCCAAAGUCAUGGUUAAGUGGGAAACGAUGUGGGAAGGCCCAGACAGCCAGGAUGUUGGCUUAGAAGCAGCCAUCAUUUAAAGAAAGCGUAAUAGCUCACUGGUCGAGUCGGCCUGCGCGGAAGAUGUAACGGGGCUAAACCAUGCACCGAAGCUGCGGCAGCGACACUAUGUGUUGUUGGGUAGGGGAGCGUUCUGUAAGCCUGUGAAGGUGUGCUGUGAGGCAUGCUGGAGGUAUCAGAAGUGCGAAUGCUGACAUAAGUAACGAUAAAGCGGGUGAAAAGCCCGCUCGCCGGAAGACCAAGGGUUCCUGUCCAACGUUAAUCGGGGCAGGGUGAGUCGACCCCUAAGGCGAGGCCGAAAGGCGUAGUCGAUGGGAAACAGGUUAAUAUUCCUGUACUUGGUGUUACUGCGAAGGGGGGACGGAGAAGGCUAUGUUGGCCGGGCGACGGUUGUCCCGGUUUAAGCGUGUAGGCUGGUUUUCCAGGCAAAUCCGGAAAACCAAGGCUGAGGCGUGAUGACGAGGCACUACGGUGCUGAAGC